GCGGCCUAUUAAAUAAUGAUGGGGCUGCUGCAGCCUGCCUCCCUUGGCCUCUGAAAAACAAAAUGACAGCCAAUCAUUUCCCUCAACCUCUCGCUCACCAAAGCCCCUUACCGGCUGGAUUUUCCUCUGAUUGGAUCAAAGCUUUGACCUGUGUUGCUAGGUGACCUUUCCUGAUCCCACCUAUGCCUCCAGAGGAGGGAACCUUGCUGGGGCACCUGAGAAUUACCCCGUCGGUGGCAUUGUUCGGCGGCUGUCACCGAGCCCUUGUCUGUUUGAUGUCACCUCUGACACCGGCCUCUGUAGCCAUCGCCAGGGAGAUCUGACGCCCUUGCUGGGCUCAAAGCGAGCGAGCGAUCCGCGUCGGCGUCCAACCAUGGGAGAGAGCUGUCGGCAAGGUGGCCCAGCUGGCAGUGCCCAGGGCUCCCAGGGGCCCGAGAGCGGCCUGACGUGGAGAGUCAAGGGGGCUGAAGGAUGACAGGGGACAGCUGGAGAAGAGGAAGACUCUAAGGACCAAAGUUGACGGCGAGAGAGCCAUGGAUCAGGAGUACGGUUCAGCGUCUUCUUUUCCGUCUGUACGAUCACGAAAAACCCUUUGGGACUCCCUGCAAGUUUGUUUUUGUUUUUUGUUUUGAGCUUCUUAUACAUCUCAUGUAAUGUCUAAAUAUCCAUGUCUACAGUAAUUUGUAAUAUUGAGUCCACAGUACUCACCGGUGCAGGAACCUUUUCCUUUUCAAUUAGUGCGAGCGGUCUAGUCAAUGACGCUUCCUAUGUCUUGUCCUCAUGCCGGUGGUUGCUGACUGACCGCGGGCCUGUCGGGCUUACUUCAGCGAUCCCUUUUACAUGUGCAUCCCUGCAAAUUAGGUUUUGAGGGUCUGGCAGGGGCCGGUGUAUGCAUGGAUAGAGGGCGGACUAGAGGACUGUGAGAGAGCUGUGGUCUGGCCGACCUGUCGCUGUUUCGGCUGCUUUCACUCCUGAGAUUAUCCAACAAGAUGGAUGCCAGUUGGCAUAUGAUGCAAUGUUUAAUUUUUCUGGUUUGAAUCAAAAUCCCCACUCGAUGGAUUCACAUAGUUUAAAGGCAUAUUUAGGGAAG
ensembl:lncRNA